GUUUAUCAGUGGUAGAUUUUUUGCUUUGGUCGUCGGCGUGUUCGCCGGCCGCGGUCGGCGCUGGCGUUUGCUCGCCUGAUCGGCCCCAUGAGAGUGGAUGCGCCAGUGGCUCUCGUUGACAACGUACAUCGGUAACCUCAAAAAGUCGUUCCUCGCGAACACAUCGCAACGCCGGCUGUAGCGACAGCCAUCCGGCCGUUCCCCUUUGCCGUGUGGUAGGUCGUCCCCGCUGAAUCUGCAGUCUCCUCCGAUGCCCGCGUUGUUGAGCGGAGUUUCCGCAUCCAGCAACAGCGGCGGCUAAUCUUAUCCAUCCCCAUUUUCCCUUGACCCUGUGUUUGUACGAACAG
rnacentral:rRNA from 1 species